rnacentral:rRNA from 1 species
ACUCAAAGGAAUUGACGGGGGCCCGCACAAGCGGCGGAGCAUGCGGCUUAAUUCGAUGCAACGCGAAGAACCUUACCUGGGCUUGACAUGCUGGUUAAAGCGGGUGAAAGCCCGUGUCCGCAAGGGGCCAGCACAGGUGCUGCAUGGCUGUCGUCAGCUCGUGCCGUGAGGUGUUGGCUUAAGUGCCGCAACGAGCGCAACCCCUGCUCUUAGUUGCCAGCGGGUAAUGCCGGGGACUCUAAGAGGACUGCCGGGGACAACUCGGAGGAAGGUGGGGAUGACGUCAAGUCAGCAUGGCCCUUAUGUCCAGGGCUGCACGCAUGCUACAUUGCGCGCCACAGAGGGCUGCGAUCCCGCAAGGGGGAGCGAAUCCCAAAAAAGCGCGCGUGGUUCGGAUUGGGGUCUGCAACUCGACCCCAUGAAGGCGGAGUCGCUAGUAAUCGCAGAUCAGCAACGCUGCGGUGAAUACGUUCCCGGGCCUUGCACACACCGCCCGU